GUGAAGUCCGUCUCUCCCGUGAUUGCCAUUGUUUCAAGAAUCAUGUUUCGCCGGUGUUUUGCUGGAUGCAUCAAUCUGCCUUGCAUACGAAAGAAAGGCCCAGUUGAUGAGGAGGAGGAGGAGGAUUUUCCCGUGAAAGAUGAACUUCAUAAACUCACAUCCCAGGACCUAAGUCGAUUUACAGCCCAAUUUUCUCCGGAAAAUCUUGUUGGAGUCACCAACUUAGGAAAGCUCUAUCGUGGGAAGAUGGUCAUUGAUGAUAUUAGCAAGGAUGUCGCUGUCAAGAUUAUAGGUAUUGAUAAAUGGAUAUUUCGAUAUACAGGCGACGACAGACUGGAAAGAUUCGAGUAUGAAUUGAAAUUUUUGCAAGCUCCAAGGAUUAAGGGCAAUCCCAAUUUAGUGAAAGUGAUUGGAUAUUGUGAAGAGGAAGAGACCUUGGGUAUUGUUUAUGAUCUAAAUCCACAUGAUAUUUUGGAGAACUUAAUUACUCGAGCUGACUUCAAUUGGAUGCUGAGAGUUAGGACAGCCCUUACAUUAGCUCGCUUGCUUAAUUAUCUGCAUGAUAGGAAAUACCUCAUUCGCAACUUUGCUCCAUAUCACAUUGUGCUUGACCAGGAUUUCACGCCAAUUAUGUUUGAGUUGGGUUUGAUUGUUGGAGGAGUUCUCGGUAAUACAAUCAAUGAAUCAGAUAUGAGAUGUGCUCCAUAUGGCUACAUCGAUUCAUACAUAUUUCAAUGUGGUACUGAUACAUUCAGUGUCAAGUCUGAUGUUUUUGCGUUUGGUGUUUUGCUCUUAAACUUUAUAAGCAAAAAAGUUGUUGAGAAAGGAAACCCCGUAGAUAAUGAGGUACUUGAUUUAUGGGCCUUGAAGGAGUUCAAGCCCGGAUGUUCACUUGUCCACCAAAGUUUUGUGGGUGAUCCAGGUUUUGGUCAUCUUGAUGCAGUUGCAAUAACAGAACUUGCUAAACGUUGUGUAGAAGAUCGACCAAAGAAACGACCAAAUAUGAAAGAAGUUGUUGCUUGUCUAGAGAAUUUACAUGUUGUGUAGGACCAUGGUGAAGAAAUUAAUGUGCAUACUUGAUAGUUGGGUUUUAUUUCCGUUGAGUUUAGUGGAUUUUGUUGUCACAGUUUGUGGAAAAACAUACGUGAGUAUAGGAAGAAAAGAUUAUUUUAGUAUAUAUUUAAAUAUAAAAAUUACUUAUCAUUUAAUCAA
rnacentral:misc_RNA from 1 species